GAGAGUUUGAUCCUGGCUCAGGAUGAACGCUGGCGGCGUGUCUAAGGCAUGCAAGUCGAACGAACUACUUCGGUAGUGAGUGGCAAACGGGUGAGUAACGCACUGGUAACCUACCUCGAAGUCGAGAACAACCAUUAGAAAUGAUGGCUAAUACUCGAUGGUCAUAGAGAGUCUACGGAUUUCCCUAUGUAAAACUCAGGUGCUUCGAGAGGGGCCUAUGUUAGAUUAGCUAGUUGGUAGGGUAAUGGCCUACCAAGGCUCCGAUCUAUAGCGGGUGUGAGAGCAUGACCCGCCACACUGGGACUGAGACACUGCCCAGACUCCUACGGGAGGCUGCAGUCGAGAAUCUUCCACAAUGCGCGAAAGCGUGAUGGAGCGACGCCGCGUGCCAGAUGAAGCCCUUUGGGGUGUAAAUGGCUUUUCUAGGGGACGAAUUCGUGACGGUACCUUAGGAAUAAGAGGGUGCUAACUCUGUGCCAGCAGCAGCGGUAAUACAGAGCCCUCGAGCGUUAUCCGGAGUAAUUGGGCGUAAAGCGUCCGCAGUCGGUUAUGCGCGUCACACGUCAAAUCUUGGUGCUCAACAUCAAGGCCGCGUGUGAUACGGCACAACUAGAGGUUGGGAGAGGUAAGCGGAAUUGCUGGUGUAGCGGUAAAAUGCGUUAAUAUCAGCAAGAACACCAAAUGCGAAGGCAGCUUACUGGAACACACCUGACGAUCAGGGACGAAAGCGUGGGUAGCGAAUGGGAUUAGAUACCCCAGUAGUCCACGCCGUAAACGAUGGAUGCUAGGUAUUGGAAGUAUCGACCCUUCCAGUGCCGUUGAACCAAGCUAACGCGUUAAGCAUCCCGCCUGGGGAGUACGGUCGCAAGACUAAAACUCAAAGGAAUAGACGGGGACCCGCACAAGCAGUGGAUCAUGUGGUUUAAUUCGACGAUAAGCGAUAACCUUACCUAGGUUUGACAUAUAGCUGCAAGCUCUGGAAACAGAGUCGCCUUCGAGGGUGCUAUACAGGUGUUGCAUGGUUGCCGUCAGCUCGUGCCGUGAGGUGUACCCUUAAGUGGGGUAACGAGCGCAACCCUCGUUCUGUGUUAUAUUUUUCACAGAAGACUGCCUACGCAAGUAGGAGGAAGGUGAGGACGACGUCAAAUCAGCAUGACCCUUACACCUAGGGCUACACACAUGAUACAAUGGUAGGGACAAUGGGUAGCCAAGCCGCAAGGCGGAGCCAAUCCUUAAACCCUAUCUCAGUUCGGAUCGAGGGCUGCAACUCGCCCUCGUGAAGUCGGAAUUGCUAGUAAUCGUGGAUCAGCGCGCCACGGUGAAUACGUUCUCGGGUCUUGUACUCACCGCCCGUCAUACCACGGGAAUUGGUAAUACCCGAACGUCGCUUUUGGCGGCGGAAGGUAGGACCAGUGACUGGGGUAAAGUCGUAACAAGGCAUCCGUAGCGGAAGCUGUGGAUGGAUCACCUCCUUUC
rnacentral:rRNA from 1 species